rnacentral:tRNA from 1 species
GGCUUUGUAGUACAAUGGAUAGUACAAGAGUUUCCGAAGCUCCAGAUUCAGGUUCGAUUCCUGACAAAGCCA